CAAGUACAAGUGUGAUCAGGUACGAGUGUGAUCAAGUACGAGUGUGAUCAGGUGUGAGUGUGAUCAGGUGAGAGUGUGAUCAGGUGUGAG